UGUUCUGUGGCGGAGUUGGUUAACGCGCCCUGUCUAGCGAACUUGGGGAGACGUGGGUUCAAAUUCCACCAGAACUA
rfam:Aedes albopictus isolate Foshan contig5470, whole genome shotgun sequence.